rnacentral:rRNA from 1 species
ACACGACCGUACCGCAAACCGACACUGGUGCGCGAGAUGAGUAUUCUAAGGCGCUUGAGAGAACUCAGGAGAAGGAACUCGGCAAAUUGACACCGUAACUUCGGAAGAAGGUGUGCCUUUAGUAGGUGAACCUGUACAAGGGGAGCCCAAUGAGGUUGCAAAAAAUCGGUGGCUGCGACUGUUUAAUAAAAACACAGCACUCUGCAAACACGAAAGUGGACGUAUAGGGUGUGACGCCUGCCCGGUGCUGGAAGAUUAAAUGAUGGGGUGCAAGCUCUUGAUUGAAGUCCCAGUAAACGGCGGCCGUAACGAUAACGGUCCUAAGGUAGCGAAAUUCCUUGUCGGGUAAGUUCCGACCUGCACGAAUGGCGUAACGAUGGCCACACUGUCUCCUCCUGAGACUCAGCGAAGUUGAAAUGUUUGUGAUGAUGCAAUCUCCCCGCGGAAAGACGGAAAGACCCCAUGAACCUUUACUGUAGCUUUGUAUUGGACUUUGAACAGAUCUGUGUAGGAUAGGUGGGAGGCUUUGAAGUGUGGUCGCUAGAUCGCAUGGAGCCAACGUUGAAAUACCACCCUGGUGUGUUUGAGGUUCUAACCUAGGCCCGUAAUCCGGGUCGGGGACAGUGCAUGGUAGGCAGUUUGACUGGGGCGGUCUCCUCCCAAAGCGUAACGGAGGAGUUCGAAGGUACGCUAGGUACGGUCGGACAUCGUGCUAAUAGUGCAAUGGCAUAAGCGUGCUUAACUGCGAGACUGACAAGUCGAGCAGAUGCGAAAGCAGGACAUAGUGAUCCGGUGGUUCUGUAUGGAAGGGCCAUCGCUCAACGGAUAAAAGGUACUCUGGGGAUAACAGGCUGAUACCGCCCAAGAGUUCAUAUCGACGGCGGUGUUUGGCACCUCGAUGUCGGCUCAUCUCAUCCUGGGGCUGUAGCCGGUCCCAAGGGUAUGGCUGUUCGCCAUUUAAAGAGGUACGUGAGCUGGGUUUAAAACGUCGUGAGACAGUUUGGUCCCUAUCUUCCGUGGGCGCUGCAGAUUUGAGGAAGCCUGCUCCUAGUACGAGAGGACCGGAGUGGACACACCUCUGGUGUAUCGGUUGUCACGCCAGUGGCAUUGCCGAGUAGCUAUGUGUGGAAGAGAUAACCGCUGAAAGCAUCUAAGCGGGAAACUCGUUUCAAGAUGAGAUCUGCCGGGGCCUUGAGCCCCCUAAAGAGUCGUUCAAGACCAGGACGUUGAUAGGUCGGGUGUGGAAGCGCAGUAAUGCGUUAAGCUAACCGAUACUAAUUGCUCGUGCGGCUUGACU